GGCGCAAGCCUGAUGCAGCCAUGCCGCGUGUAUGAAGAAGGCCUUCGGGUUGUAAAGUACUUUCAGCAGUGAGGAAGGUGGUGUCGUUAAUAGCGGCAUCAUUUGACGUUAGCUGCAGAAGAAGCACCGGCUAACUCCGUGCCAGCAGCCGCGGUAAUACGGAGGGUGCGAGCGUUAAUCGGAAUUACUGGGCGUAAAGCGCAUGCAGGUGGUUUGUUAAGUCAGAUGUGAAAGCCCGGGGCUCAACCUCGGAAUUGCAUUUGAAACUGGCAGACUAGAGUACUGUAGAGGGGGGUAGAAUUUCAGGUGUAGCGGUGAAAUGCGUAGAGAUCUGAAGGAAUACCGGUGGCGAAGGCGGCCCCCUGGACAGAUACUGACACUCAGAUGCGAAAGCGUGGGGAGCAAACAGGAUUAGAUACCCUGGUAGUCCACGCCGUAAACGAUGUCUACUUGGAGGUUGUGGCCUUGAGCCGUGGCUUUCGGAGCUAACGCGUUAAGUAGACCGCCUGG
rnacentral:rRNA from 1 species